rnacentral:rRNA from 1 species
UACGGAGGGUGCAAGCGUUAUCCGGAUUCACUGGGCUUAAAGGGUGCGUAGGUGGGUAGGUAAGUCAGUGGUGAAAUCUCUGGGCUUAACCCGGAAACUGCCGUUGAUACUAUCUGUCUUGAAUGUAGUGGAGGUGAGCGGAAUAUGUCAUGUAGCGGUGAAAUGCUUAGAUAUGACAUAGAACACCAAUUGCGAAGGCAGCUGGCUACACGAAUAUUGACACUGAGGCACGAAAGCGUGGGGAUCAAACAGG